rnacentral:rRNA from 1 species
GGGGAAUUUUCCGCAAUGGGCGCAAGCCUGACGGAGCAAUACCGCGUGAGGGAGGAAGGCUUUUGGGUUGUAAACCUCUUUUCUCAAGGAAGAAGUACUGACGGUACUUGAGGAAUCAGCAUCGGCUAACUCCGUGCCAGCAGCCGCGGUAAUACGGAGGAUGCAAGCGUUAUCCGGAAUUAUUGGGCGUAAAGCGUCCGCAGGUGGUGCAUCAAGUCUGCUGUCAAAGACCAGGGCUUAACCCCGGGAAGGCAGUGGAAACUGGUGGACUAGAGUACGGUAGGGGUAGAGGGAAUUCCCAGUGUAGCGGUGAAAUGCGUAGAGAUUGGGAAGAACACCAGUGGCGAAGGCGCUCUACUGAACCUGUACUGACACUCAGGGACGAAAGCUAGGGGAGCGAAAGGGAUUAGAUACCCCUGUAGUC